AGCAAUGGAACGAGUGGCGCACGGGUGAGUAACGCGUACAGAAUCUGCCUCGAACUGGGGGAAAGUCAUUGGAAACGAUGAAUAAUCCCGCAUAAUGUACUGUGGAGGCAUCUCUAUGGUAAGAAAGACUUCGGUUGGUUUGAGAUGAUUGUGCGUCUGAUUAGCUAGUUGGAGUGGUAAAGCACACCAAGGCUACGAUCAGUAGGGGGCGUGAGAGCGUGACCCCCCACACGGGUACUGAGAACGGACCCGACUCCUACGGGAGGCAGCAGUAAGGAAUAUUGGGCAAUGGGCGAAAGCCUGACCCAGCCAUGCCGCGUGAAGGAUGAAGGCGUUACGCGUCGUAAACUUCUUUUGUAUGGGAAGAAUGACGGGGAUUUAUCCCUGGAGAGACGGUACCAUAAGAAUAAGCACCGGCUAACUCCGUGCCAGCAGCCGCGGUAAUACGGAGGGUGCAAGCGUUAUCCGGAAUCACUGGGUUUAAAGGGUACGUAGGCUGUUAGUUAAGUCAUCAGUGAAAGGCCGUCGCUUAACGAUGGGAAUGCUGAUGAAACUGGCUAGCUAGAAUUGAGUUAAGGUAGUCGGAAUGGAUCAUGUAGCGGUGAAAUGCAUAGAUAUGAUUUAGAACACCGAAAGCGAAGGCAGGCUACUGAGCUUUUAUUGACGCUGAG
rnacentral:rRNA from 1 species